GAACCCGCGUAUGCGUAUGGCGUAUGAAAGCAAAGCAAUUGACCCAAAUCUUGCUUAAGUUUAUCACCACUUGCCUUCCUUCUCAUUUCACCAACCGCAGCACCCCAUAGGAGCCUUGGCGACAGAGCUCCACGGGGAGAUAUCUCUGCCCUUUCACCAAUUUGGAUCUGCUCCUUUUUGGGUGUUGCUAAGUUCUUCUUCCCCCGAUCUGCAGCACCAUGGCCGAAUCACUGCUUCUCCCUUUGGUGCGCGGCGUGGCCGGCAAGGCCGCAGACGCGUUAGUCCAGACCGUGACCCGGAUGUGUGGCCUCGAAGACGACCGCGAAACGCUGGAGCGCCAUCUGCUGGCCGUCCAGUGCAAGCUGGCCAACGCGGAGGAAAGGAGCCAGAGCAAUGCCUACCUCAGGAGCUGGAUGGAGAAGCUCAAGGCCGUCGCCUACGAGGCCGACGACGUCCUCGACGACUUUCAGUAUGAGGGGCUGCGCCGUGAAGCCCGGAUCGGCAAGUCCACUUCCCGCAAGGUACUCAGCUAUGUCACAUACCACAGCCCGCUGCUCUUCCGUUUUGCCAUGAGCAGGAAGCUCAAGAGUGUCCUUGAGAAGAUCAAUAAGUUAGUUGAGAAGAUGAACAAGUUUGGCCUUGAGAAUUCUGUCCAUCAGCAGGAGCCCCAACUUCCUUGGCGGCAGACUCACUCCAAACUGGAUGAGUCCGCCGACAUCUUUGGGAGAGAUGAUGACAAGGAGAGGGCGGUGAAGCUGCUGCUAGAUCAGCAAGAUCAGCGUGAGGUGCAGGUGCUGCCCAUCUUUGGUAUGGGAGGUCUUGGCAAGACGACAAUUGCUAAGAUGGUGUACAAUGACCAAGGGGUCCAGCAACAUUUCCAGUUGAAGAUGUGGCGCUGCGUGUCAGACAAUUUUGAUGUUGUUGCUAUUGUGAAAUCCAUCAUUGAAUUGGCUACAAAUGCAAGAUGCGACCUGCCCGACAACAUCGAGCUUUUGCAGAAGAAACUUGAUGAAGUCAUUUGCCAGAAGAGAUUUUUACUUGUUCUCGAUGAUGUCUGGAAUGAAGAGAAGACGAUAUGGGAGGAAAAUUUGAAGCCACUGUUAUGCUCCAUUGGUGGACCAGGAAGUGUCAUUGUAGUCACAUGUCGAAGCAAGCAAGUGGCCUCUAUAAUGUCCACCGUUAAGCCCCAUGAGCUAGCAUUUUUGGAUGAAGAAAAUUCAUGGGAAUUGUUUUCAAACAAAGCAUUUAGCAAUGGUGUGGAGGAGGAAGCAGAGUUGGUCACCAUUGGAAGACGUAUUGUAAAUAAAUGCGGGGGGUUGCCUCUUGCACUGAAGACAAUGGGUGGAUUGCUGAGUUCGAAGCGACAAGUACAUGAGUGGAAGGCCAUCGAAGAAAGUAACAUUGGGGAUACUGUUGGAGGCAAAUAUGAGGUCAUGCCCAUACUGAAGUUAAGCUACAAACACCUGUCAUCUGAAAUGAAGCAAUGCUUUGCAUUCUGUGCACUUUUCCCCAAGGAUUAUGAGAUGCAGAAGGAUAUGUUGAUCCAACUAUGGAUGGCAAAUGGCUUUAUUCAAGAAGAGGGAACAAUGGAUUUAACACAGAAAGGAGAAUUCAUUUUCCGUGAACUGCUUUGGAGGUCCUUCCUGCAAGAUAUAAAAGUUGUAGUCAAACACAGUAUCUUGCCCGAUUACUUUCAUAGUAUAGCAUACAAGGUAAUUGUAUGUAAAAUGCAUGACUUAAUGCAUGACUUAGCUAGAGAUGUUAGCAAUGAAUGUGCCACCAUAGAAGAAUUGAUAGAACAUAAAGCAUUGGUAAAAAAUAUUUAUCACCUGCAAAUGUCAAAGGUUGAAUUGGAACAGAACAUUGGGUUAUUGAAAGGGAAAACAUCUCUCCGCACUUUGUUAGCUCCUUCGACAGUACACUGGGAUUUUAAUCGGCUGCCACAUGUAUCAUUACAGGCAUUGUAUUGGCAGAGAAGCGGAAUUGCCAGUUUCAUCGUAAAUGCCAUAAAUGCAAAACAUUUACGGUAUCUUGACCUCUCCCAUUGUACUGUUGGUGCUACAUUGCUAGAUUCAAUAUGUCUAUUGUAUAACUUGCAAACGUUGAGGCUCAAUGAUUGUACAGGACAAGGACUACGACAAUUUCCAGAACACAUGAUGAUGAGCCUGAGAAAGCUCGUACAUCUGUAUCUUCUUCGAUGUCAAGUGGGGCGGAUGCCUCCAAACAUUGGUCAGUUGAACAACCUUCGCACACUAACAACAUUUAUUGUGGAUACACGAGAUGGUUGUGGUAUUGAGGAGCUCAAAGACUUGCAGCAUCUUAGCAACAGGUUGGAACUGUACAGUUUGAGAAAAAUAAAGAGCGCGCAACAUGCAAAAGAAGCCAAUCUCCAGCAGAAGCAAAAUCUGAGUGAGUUGUCGUUUUGUUGGGGCUUUAAGAGAUGUUACAAACCCGGAAAUGAGACAUGCAAUGAGGAAGAAGUGUUCCAGCAUCUAGAACCUCAUAGAAAGAUCCAAAUUUUGGAGUUAUAUGGAUAUGGCGGCCUGGAAAUACCACAAUGGAUGAGAGAACCUCAAAUGUUUCAGUGCUUAACAAAACUCAUAAUUUCCAACUGGACAAGGUGCAAGAAUAUACCUGUAGUGUGGUUGUCACCCUCUCUGGAGUACUUAUCCUUAGACAACAUGGGUAAGUUGAAGACAUUAUGUGAUGAUAACCUUUGCAUAGAAGGUGGAGGGCACAGUACCUCUCUACAGAUUUUCCCAAAGUUGAGGAAGAUGAUCUUGAAAGAGCUACCAAGUCUAGGGGGAUGGGCUGAAAACAGUGCAGGAGUGGCUAUUGAUAGCUUAGUAACAUUCCCGGUGCUUGAGGUGCUAAUGAUCAGUCACUGCCCUAAGCUUGCAAGUUUUCCAGUGUGCCCUGUUCUCAAAUACCUCGAAGUUAUUAGUGCAAUUAUGGAGCGUUUGCCAAGGUUGCCUACAUCCCUUGAAACGUUGAGGAUUGACGGCAUGCAAUGUUUGGUGGCGCUGCCUUCGAACCUUGGAGAUCUGUCAAAGCUGAGGCAUCUAUCGGUGCAUAACUGCAUUGUCCUGAAAGCGUUGCCUGAUGGGAUGGAUGGCCUCACUUCUCUUCGGCAAUUGUGGAUAAGUUGUUGUCCAAAAAUAGUAGAAUUUCCGAAUGGUCUUCUUCAGCGGUUGCCAGCCCUGAACCGCCUACGCAUAUGGGGCUGCCCUGGGUUGGAAAGACGGUGCAGAGAAGGUGGGGAGUAUUUCCACCACUUGGUCCCUAUCCCAGAUUUAGAAAUUCCAGCAGAAUCAAGACCAGAAUCAGGAUUAGAAACUGGAGCACCAGAAGCAGAAGCAGAAUCCACAAUUAUAGCACCAGAAGCAGAAACCAGCGGAAAGAAGUUUCUAAGAAGGCUCCUCCCCUCCUGUGCUCACUCGAAGUCUGGUGAUAACUGAUGACGUUGGAAGAGUUGAAAUCCAUCAAAGCUCUGUAUGUUGGCGGUAAUGAUGUGAUGUGGAGUCCACGCAAGCUUCUUUCCCAGCAAAUCCACAGAGCGCCAUGACUGACCAAGUAAUUUAGGAAAAUUGGUAUUCAGACUCGAUACUGAUUUCGUGUCUGUCAGGAAAUCAAGUGCCGGGUGACAGUCAGCUACAACAACGUUUCGUUCUUAAGCAUACGACAAAUUCAGAUACCACUCUGAUGACAGCGCAAGAAAACCCAAGCUGUGAAGCAAAUCCAUAUGAAUGUGUGCCCUGGUUGGUAUUACUGAAAGCAUCCACAAAAUGAAGGAAGCAGUGCCAUGCUCAUCAAGCAAAGUCAGAACUCCGUCAUCACGGCAAGUGACGAGUGUUGCCUGAAAGUAGACGCAACAAUCAGAACAUAUGUGCAUGCAGAUAUGUCUUGAUCCAUUUUUUCGACACAUUAGAUGCUAGUACGAAUUUUUAUUUGCCUACAAAUUUGCAAAUUGUCCCUUGGCCA